GAUGAACGCUGGCGGCGUGCUUAACACAUGCAAGUCGAACGGAAAGGCCCAAGCUUGCUUGGGUACUCGAGUGGCGAACGGGUGAGUAACACGUGGGUGAUCUGCCCUGCACUUCGGGACAAGCCUGGGAAACUGGGUCUAAUACCGGAUAGGACCACAUUUUGGAUGGUGUGGUGGAAAGUUUUUCGGUGUGGGAUGAGCUCGCGGCCUAUCAGCUUGUUGGUGGGGUAAUGGCCUACCAAGGCGUCGACGGGUAGCCGGCCUGAGAGGGUGUACGGCCACAUUGGGACUGAGAUACGGCCCAGACUCCUACGGGAGGCAGCAGUGGGGAAUAUUGCACAAUGGGCGCAAGCCUGAUGCAGCGACGCCGCGUGGGGGAUGACGGCCUUCGGGUUGUAAACUCCUUUCGCUAGGGACGAAGCGUUUUUGUGACGGUACCUGGAGAAGAAGCACCGGCUAACUACGUG
rnacentral:rRNA from 1 species